rfam:Triticum urartu cultivar G1812 contig886788, whole genome shotgun sequence.
GCCUCUAUCGUCUAGUGGUUCGGGAUAUCUGUCUUUCAAGCAGGCAUCGGGGAUUCGACUUCCCUUGGGGUA